GACGAACGCUGGCGGCGUGCUUAACACAUGCAAGUCGAACGGAAAGGCCCUGCUUUUGUGGGGUGCUCGAGUGGCGAACGGGUGAGUAACACGUGAGUAACCUGCCCUUGACUUUGGGAUAACUUCAGGAAACUGGGGCUAAUACCGGAUAGGAGCUCCUGCUGCAUGGUGGGGGUUGGAAAGUUUCGGCGGUUGGGGAUGGACUCGCGGCUUAUCAGCGUGUUGGUGGGGUAGUGGCUUACCAAGGCUUUGACGGGUAGCCGGCCUGAGAGGGUGACCGGCCACAUUGGGACUGAGAUGCGGCCCAGACUCCGGCGGGAGGCAGCAGUGGGGAAUAUUGCACAAUGGGCGGAAGCCUGAUGCAGCAACGCCGCGUGCGGGAUGACGGCCUUCGGGUUGUAAACCGCUUUCGCCUGUGACGAAGCGUGAGUGACGGUAAUGGGUAAAGAAGCACCGGCUAACUACGUG
rnacentral:rRNA from 1 species